GCCUGGCUGGCUCAGAUGGAAGAGCAUGUGACUCUUGAUCCCAGGGUUGUGAGUUCAAGUCUCACGUUGGGUA
rnacentral:tRNA from 1 species